rnacentral:rRNA from 1 species
GAUGAACGCUGGCGGCGUGCCUAAUACAUGCAAGUCGAGCGAACAGACGAGGAGCUUGCUCCUCUGACGUUAGCGGCGGACGGGUGAGUAACACGUGGAUAACCUACCUAUAAGACUGGGAUAACUUCGGGAAACCGGAGCUAAUACCGGAUAAUAUAUUGAACCGCAUGGUUCAAUAGUGAAAGACGGUUUUGCUGUCACUUAUAGAUGGAUCCGCGCCGCAUUAGCUAGUUGGUAAGGUAACGGCUUACCAAGGCAACGAUGCGUAGCCGACCUGAGAGGGUGAUAGGCCACACGGGAACUGAGACACGGUCCAGACUCCUACGGGAGGCAGCAGUAGGGAAUCUUCCGCAAUGGGCGAAAGCCUGACGGAGCAACGCCGCGUGAGUGAUGAAGGUCUUCGGAUCGUAAAACUCUGUUAUUAGGGAAGAACAAAUGUGUAAGUAACUAUGCACGUCUUGACGGUAACGAAUCAGAAAGCCACGGCUAACUACGUG